rnacentral:rRNA from 1 species
UGCNGUCGNNCGCCCUCUUCGGAGGGAGUGGCAGACGGGUGAGUAACACGUGGGAAUCUACCUAUCUCUGCGGAACAACACAUAGAAAUGUGUGCUAAUACCGCAUACGCCCUUCGGGGGAAAGAUUUAUCGGAGAUAGAUGAGCCCGCGUUUGAUUAGCUAGUUGGUGAGGUAAUGGCUCACCAAGGCGACGAUCAAUAGCUGGUCUGAGAGGAUGAUCAGCCACACUGGGACUGAGACACGGCCCAGACUCCUACGGGAGGCAGCAGUGGGGAAUAUUGGACAAUGGGCGCAAGCCUGAUCCAGCCAUGCCGCGUGAGUGAUGAAGGCCCUAGGGUUGUAAAGCUCUUUCAACGGUGAAGAUAAUGACGGUAACCGUAGAAGAAGCCCCGGCUAACUUCGUGCCAGCAGCCGCGGUAAUACGAAGGGGGCUAGCGUUGUUCGGAAUAACUGGGCGUAAAGCGCACGUAGGCGGAUUGGAAAGUUAGAGGUGAAAUCCCAGGGCUCAACCCUGGAACUGCCUUUAAAACUAUCAGUCUAGAGGUCGAGAGAGGUGAGUGGAAUUCCGAGUGUAGAGGUGAAAUUCGUAGAUAUUCGGAGGAACACCAGUGGCGAAGGCGGCUCACUGGCUCGAUACUGACGCUGAGGUGCGAAAGUGUGGGGAGCAAACAGGAUUAGAUACCCUGGUAGUCCACACCGUAAACGAUGGAAGCUAGCUGUCAGAANGNAUACNUUUUGGUGGCGCAGCUAACGCAUUAAGCUUCCCGCCUGGGGAGUANNGUCGCAAGAUUAAAACUCAAAGGAAUUGANNGGGCCCGCACAAGCGGNGGAGCAUGUG